ACGCCUGCCCAGCGGAGCCCCAGGAAGUGGAAGAAGCCAGCGGUGAGCACAUGGCCAGGUCUGUUGCUUGUCUCUGGCAGAAUUCAGGGGUCUCCGCCUCGAGCGUUGCAUCUGCAUCUUUCCGUCCACCUGCGCGCAGAGAGCCCGCCACAUGACUGCGUGCAGGGGACUGGACUCGAAGCCGGGAAAGAGCCGCAGGGCCGAGGAGCGCCCCCUGGAGGCGGGACGGGGGCGCGGGCUACGCCCCCUCCCUGCCCCGCCCUCCUCUGUCCGCGGAAGUGGGGACCAGCUGCGAGCAGCCCUGGGGCAGGUGACUCCGCGCCCGCGCCCGGGAAAGGCGACGGGCGCCUCCCGCGGCAGGAGUCCCUUCUCCGCGGCCUCUACCGCCCCCUGGGCUCUAGUCCCCACCUGGGCUUCUGAGAGUCUGACUCAGAACCGAGCCCGCAUCGUUUCACCUCCUACAACACACCCGGAGCGUGCGGAGAAAUUACAGGAUUGCAGGGGCACGGCUAAUGCGCUCUAAUUACCCACCGCCGCUCUCAUCGGCGGCGCUGGGCCAACGUGCCGUAAUUAGGCCGCCCCUCCCCGGUCCCGGAACCUGUCCCCCGUCCCUUGUCCUUUGGUCAGUUCCGCCCGCCGCCACCUCCUGCUGCCCUCCAGGAUUGCCCCUUGGUCACAGGAGAGAGCCAUGAGACCCAAACAAGGGUGAGGAGCAGGAAGGUGCAGGACUUGGGGACCGGCCCCUCUCCUCCCUUAAGCCUACAGUUUUUGAGAUCUCUGCUAGAAAGGACUAGGAGAGUGGGGAAGGCCAUGAAGGACCCUUUGGUUGACAGGGACAUUGAGGCCGACUGGAAAGUUAACUGUGGGGGGCAGGGGUGGAUAGGGCACCAGGGUGACAGGAUCCCAUUCUGCACAUGAGGCUCAGAAAAGUAAAGGUUCUUGGGGGACGCCCCCAGCCGGAACUUCCAGAUUAGCUCAUUUAAGGAGCCCAACAUGCUCGCUCGCUCCCUGGAAGGGGAAUUACCUUCCCUCGAAGAAAGAUGACAUCCCCAUGGCAAACAUGGAGUCCUGGCAGCUGACCAACUGUGGCCAGUUGGUCACAAGGGAGCUGGUGAGUGGCUCAAGUCCCCCAUCCCAGGGAGGGUGGGACGAGGCCCUGAAGACACAGGCCAGACCCAGUGGCCAGGACUAAAGGGGAGCAGCUUGGCUCUCAGGUUCUUUAUUCAAACCAAGCUCAAACCUCUCCUAUCAGACGUUCUUUCCUGAAGUCCAGGGGGGGUUGCAAAUGCUUGGCCUUUGGCCAAGUUUAAUCUUUAGUGAGGUUUUUGUUUGGCCUUCAGGGAGCAUGUGGUUUUUAUAUUCAAUGUGAGAGCCCACGGAUACUGCGGGCUGCCCUCCCGUCAUCGGCAAAGGCCGGUAUGGCCAAACUAGGUCCCCAAAGGCAUUUGAGUUUGAGACGUGAUCUAGACCAGCCCACCUGACCUGCACUGUUAUCUUUUCCCUCACCUUCUAGAAGCUCAGUCUGCUCUGUUGCACCUUUGUAGUUUGUGUGUGUCGCUCAGUAGCUGUACCAAAGUGUUUCCCCGAGCUCCUCUUUAGGCUCCCCAGAUGUGGUGGCAGUGGUGGCUGCAUAUACUUCUGCGAACCCCUCUGGCACCCACUUUUUUCAUCUUGAGAAUCAAGCUGUGCCUUGGGUAGCCACCAUAUCUUUUCCAACAGGGAUAACAGGUAUUUUUCCGCCGUAAGACUAGAGGUUCCUUGAGGGCAGGAUAUUGGAUCUCUCCUUUCAGACUGGGUUCUCACUGAGGGCUAUGGCAGUGGGGUGUGGGGGUUGUAUCAUAGGUAGCUCCCUGAGAAGAGCAGUGCCUCCCCCUCAGACUGGGGCUCCCUGAGGCAGGUCUGUGUCUUCCCUCCCCCCCAUCAGACUGGGCUCCCUGAGGAGGGCCAUGUCUCCCCUCAGACUGGGGCUCCCUAAGGGCAGAGCAGUGUCUCCUCCCUCAGACUUGGGUCCCUGAGACAGGGCUGUGUCUCCCCCUCAGUCUGGAGCUCCUUGAAGGCACUGGAUUCUCCCCUCAGAUGGAGCCUUUGCACCCCACCCCACCCCCCUGGCUCUCAGCUGUGCCCAGGCGUUCCUCCCAGGACGCUGUCAUGCUUUGAUGAAUGAAACCUACU
rnacentral:lncRNA from 1 species